GUAGGGAAUAUUGGACAAUGGAGGAAACUCUGAUCCAGCAACGCCGCGUGGAGGAUGAAGUCCUUCGGGAUGUAAACUCCUGUCAGAGGGGAAGAAACCUUUGCCGAUGAAUAAUCGGCAGAAUCGACGGUACCCUCAGAGGAAGCACCGGCUAACUCCGUGCCAGCAGCCGCGGUAAUACGGGGGGUGCAAGCGUUGUUCGGAAUCACUGGGUGUAAAGGGCAGGUAGGCGGGCCGAUAAGUCGGAUGUGAAAACCCCGUGGCUUAACCCGGGGCCGGCAUUCGAAACUGUUGGUCUUGAGUGCGGAAGAGGGAGAUGGAAUUCCUGGUGUAACGGUGAAAUGUGUAGAUAUCAGGAAGAACACCGGUGGCGAAGGCGGUCUCCUGGUCCGCUACUGACGCUGAUCUGCGAAAGCUAGGGGAGCAAACAGGAUUAGAUACCCCAGUAGUCC
rnacentral:rRNA from 1 species